UUGAAACACUAGUUCUCAUUUGAAUACAAAAGUUAAGCAAUGUUGAGCCUGCUCAGUACCUAGAUGAGUGACCACUUGGAAUUACCAGGUGCUGUAAG